rnacentral:rRNA from 1 species
AGUGAACGCUGGCGGUAGGCCUAACACAUGCAAAUCGAACGGCAGCACAGUAAGAGCUUGCUCUUACGGGUGGCGAGUGGCGGACGGGUGAGGAAUACAUCGGAAUCUACUUUUUCGUGGGGGAUAACGUAGGGAAACUUACGCUAAUACCGCAUACGACCUACGGGUGAAAGCAGGGGAUCUUCGGACCUUGCGCGAUUGAAUGAGCCGAUGUCGGAUUAGCUAGUUGGCGGGGUAAAGGCCCACCAAGGCGACGAUCCGUAGCUGGUCUGAGAGGAUGAUCAGCCACACUGGAACUGAGACACGGUCCAGACUCCUACGGGAGGCAGCAGUGGGGAAUAUUGGACAAUGGGCGCAAGCCUGAUCCAGCCAUACCGCGUGGGUGAAGAAGGCCUUCGGGUUGUAAAGCCCUUUUGUUGGGAAAGAAAAGCAGCAGGUUAAUACCCCGCUGUUCUGACGGUACCCAAAGAAUACGCACCGGCUAACUUCGUG